GAUGAACGCUGGCGGCGUGCCUAAUACAUGCAAGUCGAGCGAACAGACGAUGAGCUUGCUCCUCUGACGUUAGCGGCGGACGGGUGAGUAACACGUGGAUAACCUACCUAUAAGACUGGGAUAACUUCGGGAAACCGGAGCUAAUACCGGAUAAUAUAUUGAACCGCAUGGUUCAAUAGUGAAAGACGGUUUUGCUGUCACUUAUAGAUGGAUCCGCGCCGCAUUAGCUAGUUGGUAAGGUAACGGCUUACCAAGGCAACGAUGCGUAGCCGACCUGAGAGGCUGAUCGGCCACACUGGAACUGGGCCACGGUCCAGACUCCUACGGGAGGCAGCAGUAGGGAAUCUUCCGCAAUGGGCGGAAGCUUGACGGAGCAACGCCGCGUGAGUGAUGAAGGUCUUCGGAUCGUAAAACUCUGUUAUUAGUGAAGAACAAAUGUGUAAGUAACUAUGCACGUCUUGACGGUACCUAAUCAGAAAGCCACGGCUAACUACGUG
rnacentral:rRNA from 1 species